rnacentral:rRNA from 1 species
AACGAACGCUGGCGGCAGGCUUACCCCAGGCUAGUCGAACGUAUCCUUCGGGAUUAGUGGCAGACGUGUGAGUAACCCGUGAGAACGUUCCCUUCCCUACUGAAUACCUCAGCGAAACUUGCGCUCAUACCGUAUGUUCCCUCCCGCGUACAGAUUUAUCGGCCAAGGAUCGUCCCGCCUUGGAUUAUCCAGUUGCUGCGCUAAUGGCCUACCAACGCUACCUUCUAUAUCUGGUCUGAGAGGAUGAUCAGCCACACUGGGACUGAGACACGGCCCAGACUCAUACGGGAGGCAGAAGUGGGGAAUGUUGGACACUGGGCGCAAGUCUGAUCCAGCCAUGCCGCGUGAGUGCUGAAGGUCUUAGGAUUGCAGAGCCCUUCCACCGGUGAACAUAAUGACGGUAGCCGGAGAAGAAGCCCCGGCUAGCUUCGUG